rnacentral:rRNA from 1 species
CCUACGGGAGGCAGCAGUGGGGAAUAUUGCACAAUGGGGGAAACUCUGAUGCAGCGACGCCGCGUGAGUGAAGAAGUCAUUCGUUAUGUAAAGCUCUAUCAGCAGGGAAGAAAAUGACGGUAUAUGCGUAAGAAGCCCCGGCUCACUCCGUGCCAGCAGCCGCGGUAAUACGUAGGGGGCAAGCGUUAUCCGGAUUUACUGGGUGUAAAGGGAGCGUAGACGGCAGUGCAAGUCUGGAGUGAAAGGCGGGGGCUCAACCCGCGGACUGCUCUGGAAACUGUACGGCUGGAGUGCAGGAGAGGUAAGUGGAAUUCCUAGUGUAGCGGUGAAAUGCGUAGAUAUUAGGAGGAACACCAGUGGCGAAGGCGGCUUACUGGACUGUAACUGACGUUGAGGCGCGAAAGCGUGGGGAGCAAACAGGAUUAGAUACCCUGGUAGUC